CAGGGUCUAACGACUGCCCAAACCCAACCGUGAACUACUCCAUUAAAGUCAUAUGCUUCGGCGGGCCGCUCGCUGGGGGAGCCCGGGGCCGCUUCGUCGGUGGCCCGCCGCAGGCAUGCAAACCAAACCUUUUCGAGAUUGCUCUGAGAAAAAACUUUCUAAAAAGAAAAUCA
rnacentral:misc_RNA from 1 species